rnacentral:rRNA from 1 species
CAGCAGCCACGGUAAUACGGAGGGGGCUAGCGUUGUUCGGAAUUACUGGGCGUAAAGCGCACGUAGGCGGCUUGGUAAGUUAGAGGUGAAAGCCCGGAGCUCAACUCCGGAAUUGCCUUUAAGACUGCCGAGCUAGCAGGUGAGAGAGGUAAGUGGAAUUCCGAGUGUAGAGGUGAAAUGCGUAGAGAUCGGAAGGAACAUCUGUGGCGAAGGCGACUAUCUGGGCCAACACUGACACUGAGGCACGAAAGCGUGGGGAGCAAACAGGAUUAGAUACCCCUGUAGUCCCUGUCUCUUAUAC